rnacentral:rRNA from 1 species
AAUUUUAUUUAAGGUUUGACCUGCCCUAUGAGAAAUUAAAUGGCCGCGGUAUUUUAACCGUGCAAAGGUAGCAUAGUCACUUGUCUUUUAAUUGGAGGCUUGAAUGAAGGGUUGGACGAGAUAUAAACUUUCUUUAUUAUAAUUAGUUGAAUUUGACUUUUGAGUCAAAAGGCUUAAAUAUAUUUAUAGGACGAGAAGACCCUAUAGAAUUUUAUAUUUUUAUUUUAAUAAUUUAUUUGUUUAUGAUUAAAUUUUUUUUAUAAAAAUAUUUUGUUGGGGCGAUGGGAAGAUUUUUUUAACUCU